UGGAAGCGGAACUCGUCGAGCUCCUCUUGCAUCUGCCGGCGUGCAACGAGCUGUUGCGGAUCGUCCUCGGUGUGCUCCAUAAUCUCGGCGAUUACGCCGUCGAGGUCGCCGGCGUCGACGUAGUCUCCUGGCAGAAAGACGAGGUGUCUGGGCGUAGUGCCAAGCCCAGCUCCUCCCCCUCCCUCUUCGGAGGCGGCAUCGGUGCGCGUGCAAUGGAGGAGCUCCCCGCGCCACCCGCGCCAGAGGAGCUCCCAAGUGGUCGCCUCGCACCGCAGUCUCGUGCCGCCGCCGCCAUCUAGCGGUCGUACUCCUCCACCUCGUGCCGAUUGAACGCACGGAGUGGCACGAGCCCCCAUUUCAUGUACUUGCACGCGAUGUGCUUCCGAGCAGCGUCGGAAGCAACCAGCGCCGCCCGUUCCAGGUCAGAGUCGGGCGCCGACCGCUUCGCCCCUUUCUAAUCCUUGUCGGAGAGGUUUCCACCGCCGGAAUGGCCGUCGCGCGAGCUGAAAGAUCCGGGCCUCAUGAUCGUCGCACGGCAACGCUUGAUCUGCGGCGGCGGGCCUGGAUUGCGUGCGUUUGAUGGUCUCCGGCGGCGAGAGUGGCGCAUAUUUGGAUGUGUAAAUAGUUAGGGUACGACACAUUUUAUCGCAUAACUAGAGGAUUUAACUAGUAACACUAACAUCCCUGGCCCAUGAGUCAGAUUGACCGGUGAGCCCCCCACGUGAGCUCGAAUAAACCUUUUCUAUUUACUGAAUAAUCCAAAAAAUGUUAUAAACUUGUAAAUUCGAUAUCUUUUGCAAUGCAAUUCAUUUAAACGGAAUUGUCAACACAUCAGUACCCUAUACAUCAUCUUGCACACGCAAAAUCACUUGUCAAAUUCAUUUUCAUGUUUGAAACUUGUUUAAAUGUUGGUCAAACUUAGGUUUGACCCAAUUUGAAAUGAGCAUAAAAAAUCAAAAAAUUUGAAAACCAGUGCACAUGUUCUUAUUUUGUCAUAUACUAACAACUCAAAUUGAUUUGGCUGUUUUAGACAUGGUGGACAAAAAACUUGCUUAGAAAUGGGUUGUUUAUCCUACCUUUGGAGCUAAUUUGGAACUCAUGUGUGAAGACAAGUGGUUUUGGGUGUUGAACUUGAAACUUCCGAAAACCUGACGAAAUCUUCAUUUUGGAGUGACUAAGAAGGAUCCACGCCUGGUUUUCAUUUUCAUGUUUGAAAUUUGUAUAAAUGUUGGUCAAACUUAGGUUUGACCAAGUUUUUAAUGAGCAUAAAAAAUUCAAAAAAAUCAAAAAAUUGGAAAACCAGUGCACAUGUUCUUACUUUGUCAUAUACUAACAACUCAAAUUGAUUUGGCUGUUUUAGACAUGGUGGACAAAAAACUUGCUUAGAAAUGGGUUGUUUACCGUACCUUUGGAGCUAAUUGGAAAUUCAUGUGUGAAGACAAGUGGUUUUGGGCGUUGAACUUGAAACUUUCAAAAACCUCACAAAAGCUUCAUUUUGGAGUGACUAAGAAGGAUCGAGGCUUGGUUUUCAUUUUCAUGUUUGAAACUUGUUGAAAUGUUGGUCAAACUUAGGUUUGACCCAGUUUGAAAUGAGCAUACAAAAUUCAAAAAACACAAAAAAUUGGAAACCGAGUGCACAUGUUCUUACUUUGUCAUAUACUGACAACUCAAAUUGAUUUGGCUGUUUUAGACAUGGUGGACAAAAAAACUUGCUUAGAAAUGGGUUGUUUGAAAACCAUACAACCUUGUUGGUGAUAGUCAAGUUUGUGAAGGCUUUUUCAUGAAAAACUCCAUAGUCCAAGUUUCUUAUUUUUUCUAUCGAGUUAGUUCAUAGAACGAUGAUUGGCACAAGUUUUCUAUUUUUUGAUUUUUUUUAAUUAGUUAUGCUCGACCCUAACCCUUGAAAACCCUACAACCUCGCUCAUGAUAGCCAAGUUUGUGAAGUCUUUUUCAAGAAAAACUCCAUAGUCCAAGUGUAUUAUUUUUCCUAUCGAGUUAGUCACAUAGAACGAUGAUUGGCACAAGUUUUAUUUAUUUAUUUUUUGAAUUAAUUAUGCUCAACCCUAACCCUUGAAAACCUCUCAAAACCCCAUCAAAACCCCGCACCUGUCCGGACCAUUGGAUCACCGUGAAUGGACGGUCUGGAUUAGGCAGUAGGGCUACGUCAACGAUCCAAGGGUUGUGCUUUCAUUGGCUGGUCUUUUUAGCUCCUUUCUUUUGGCAGCAUUCUGAAGCAUGGGUCCACACAGAUUGAGGAGGCGUGCCCCGCGUUUUUGAGCUUAAUUUAAUCUGGCCCACCCCUUGGACCGUCUCUUUCUUUCUCUGCAAAAACGAGGAGCCCGGCCGGCCCAGCUCCACCUAAACGUUACGCUCCUCCCCCUCGAUUAACUGAAGAAUUGAUGGGCAUGGUUUCAGACAUGAUGGAUGCCACGAGGGCAACGUGGAAGGAGGAUCUGAUUCAUUUGGUUUUCCUACCGGCUGACGGUGAUACAAUUCUAGCAAUUCCAUUGUGCACGAUACCGAUAGUUGAUUUCUAGGCAUGGUUGUUCGAAAGAACUGACCUCUUCUUGGAUAGUUCAACAUACAAAAUGGUGAUCAAUACUAGGGAGAAUAGUGUGAAUGGAAAUGUUGGUUCAGCUGGGGCUCACGGGACUCUAGAAGGGAUGGAGGGGCCUUCCUCGCAGUCACAUACUAUACAUCGGAUGGGGGGUGGAGGGGCCCUCCGGAUUCUUACCUGAAGAUCAAUGUAGAGAUUGUUGUAUCACACGACUGCACACAGGGAGUGGCAGCCGCUAUAUGUCGUGACCGCGAUGGUUUUUUCUAAGGAGCUUCAGCGAUGGUUUUCAAGGGUAUAGGGGAUGCACCUACACUCGAAACUCUGGCGAUUCGGGAGGCUUUUUCCCUAGCAAAUGAUCUAUACAUUCAGCAUAUACAUAUUGCUUCGGAUUGCAAGGUGGUGGUUGACGAUAUCAAGGACAAGCAGCCUACAACAUACAAUGCUAUUUUACAUGAAAUUUUAGAACACAAAUCGUCUUUUCAAGCAUGCAAUGUAGUGCAUGAAUAUAUGAGCCCAAAUGUCGAGGCUCACAAUUUAGGGAAAUAUGUUUUGAGGUUAGGGGAAGGCCGACAUGUAUGGCUAGGCACCCCGGGAGAUUUAUCAUUUGUACCUUUGAACGUUGAUCAAUAAAGUUUCGCGAGAUUGACUAAAAAACUGAAGAAUUGCUGCACUCUGUUAAUUGAAGAAUUGCUGCUUUUUAUGAAUUCAAUUGCUGCAUUUUAUUCGUCAGGGGAAGCAAAUAAUCAAUGGACUACCUAGAACUAUAACUGAGAAUAUCAUUACAAGAAUUCAGGCAGGUUUAGCUUCACACAAAUUCAAAUUGAGCUAACAAAUGAUCCAUGACUAACUGAAACUACUUGCUUGACGCACUAAGUGAAACUCUAACAAGUUCUAGCGAUUGAUGAACAUCAAGUAAAAGAAACCCGGGCCACACAAGAAACCCAUAGAAAUGACACAACAAUAAAAUGCUCCAGCCAUCAUACUUGCUAGCUGCUUCAAAUCGAUCAGCUGCUUUAGUUGCUUGUGGAUCAAUCUUUGCAAAUUCAAUCUCCCACUUCACAAUUGUAUCUCCCUCUAUGUCCUGCAUGCUACCAUCACCUAGCUUCUCCUUAGAAAGAAGAAAUUCCACAGUGAAUUCGAACGUCCGAGCACCACCACCCUUGUUUGCCAAUGACGGGGCAGUGUGAGGUGAGCUAGCAGAAGCAGACGAGGCACAAAUCGCAUAGGUUGGAAAGGAUGUUGUUGUCUCUCGCGGCUCCAUCGCGGUCACCUCUCCUCCCCCCCACCCAAACCUAGAUCAAAUCGACCAAAAACAGGCAAUGCGGUGAGAUCUAACUCGACACAGAGGAGAAGAGGACAGGGUUCCGGAUUCACUCGCCACAGCCGACGCCGUCACCGAGAAUGAAAGCCCCGUCGUUGCUGUCAUCGAGAACAAAAGCUCUGCCGCCGCCGGCGGCGACUCACCGCCAGAAACGAAGAGGAGGGAGCAACACAGGUUCAGACAGGGGUACCCGUUCGGACAGGCACGGGGACACGUUUCACCUGGUGCAGUGACAAGUGGGGCCCAUAACUAGAUGCACUGCCGAGUAGGGACCGUGCUUACGUGGAUAAGUCGUGGGUCCAGCCCCUAACAGCUAAUUAGGGCAUCAGUUCAUAUUAAGGGCCAUGUCGUGUCUGGGCUAUUUCCUUGCUUAAAAUUGUCGCACCAAGGCAAUUUGAAGGAAAGACGUCUCACUCCUAAUUUACCUCAAAGGUGUCGCACCUGAGCUAUUGACCCUGCAUCACCAUGGCUGCAUUGGAGAAUUUUACUUCUUCGCCCUCUACACCAACUAAUAAUGCACAGAGGAUAUCUAGUCUUGGUUAUGCAUCGAGCCUAGUCCUUAAUAUAUACGUGAGUAUCACAAAAGACUGGUCCUCAAAAAUAAAUAGAAAUCUAUAUUCGUUUUGGAAGAAUUUAACCCUAGGUCUUCAUUCUCUCACCAGGUUGAAUUAGACUCACUUCCUACAACCUUUUGAAGCACUAUCCGUCGUGUCUGUCUAGCAACUAGUACAACCUAGAACAAAAAGGACACCACUUUCUGCUCUCAUAAUGCAAAAAUUCUAUACAACGGAAUUCAGCCCACUGAUCAAUAUUAUCUUAUCACCGACUUAAACUAGUAUACUAAGUAUCUGCUAUUAACAACAGCCGACGAAACCAUUCGAUACCACAAACUCUGCCGCUCCAUGACAUGGAAGGUGUGAGGUGACAUGCCAAGAGGACUAAACAAGCCACAACAAUUUCAUAGACCAACUAUUAUAGAACUAAUAAAGUACCAUCACUGGGCCACUAAUCAGUAAACCAAACCCUGCCCCUAUCAUCAUCCACUAAUCACCAAGUGGCAGCAAGCAAAGAAAAAAUAAACACAUUAUCAACACCACACACACAAUGCAGAGAAGCCAUGAUUGACCUCCGCUAUAAAAAGCACUCCAAAGCCACUCCCUUUCCUCAUCUCUCUCUCGCUCACCUAUACAUCAUCAUCUCCUCUGCCUAACAAGCUAAGCAGCUCAGCUCAAGCAUCGGCAAUGGAGGGCAAGGAGGAGGACGUGCGUCUGGGCGCGAACCGGUACUCGGAGCGGCAGCCGAUUGGGACGGCGGCGCAGGGCGGCGGCGCGGACGAGAAGGACUACAAGGAGCCGCCGCCGGCACCGCUGUUCGAGGCGGAGGAGCUGACGUCGUGGUCCUUCUACCGCGCGGGGAUCGCCGAGUUCCUGGCCACCUUCCUGUUCCUGUACAUCAGCGUGCUCACGGUGAUGGGCGUGGUGGGCAACCCCUCCGGCUCCAAGUGCGGCACCGUGGGCAUCCAGGGCAUCGCCUGGAGCUUCGGGGGCAUGAUCUUCGUGCUCGUCUACUGCACCGCCGGCAUCUCCGGCGGCCACAUCAACCCCGCCGUCACCUUCGGGCUGUUCCUGGCCAGGAAGCUGUCGCUCACCCGGGCCGUGUUCUACAUGGUGAUGCAGUGCCUGGGAGCCAUCUGCGGCGCCGGGGUGGUGAAGGGGUUCCAGACCACGCUGUACAUGGGCAACGGCGGCGGCGCCAACUCGGUGGCGCCGGGGUACACCAAAGGCGACGGCCUGGGGGCGGAGAUCGUGGGGACCUUUGUGCUCGUGUACACCGUCUUCUCCGCCACCGACGCCAAGCGCAGCGC
rnacentral:lncRNA from 1 species